AGAGUUUGAUCCUGGCUCAGGACGAACGCUGGCGGCGUGCCUAACACAUGCAAGUCGAGCGAAUGAAGUUCCUUCGGGAACGGAUUUAGCGGCGGACGGGUGAGUAACACGUGGGCAACCUGCCUCAUAGAGGGGAAUAGCCUUCCGAAAGGGAGAUUAAUACCGCAUAAGAUUGUAGUACCGCAUGGUACAGCAAUUAAAGGAGUAAUCCGCUAUGAGAUGGGCCCGCGGCGCAUUAGCUAGUUGGUGAGGUAACGGCUCACCAAGGCGACGAUGCGUAGCCGACCUGAGAGGGUGAUCGGCCGCAUUGGGACUGAGACACGGCCCAGACUCCUACGGGAGGCAGCAGUGGGGAAUAUUGCACAAUGGGGGAAACCCUGAUGCAGCAACGCCGCGUGAGUGAUGACGGCCUUCGGGUUGUAAAGCUCUGUCUUCAGGGACGAUAAUGACGGUACCUGAGGAGGAAGCCACGGCUAACUACGUGCCAGCAGCCGCGGUAAUA
rnacentral:rRNA from 1 species